rnacentral:rRNA from 1 species
GGGGUGCACCAGGCGCGAAAACUUUACAAUGCCGGCAACGGCGAUAAGGGAACCUCGAGUGCCAGGUUACAAAUCUGGCUGUCGUGAUGCCUAAAAAGCAUUGCAUAGCAAGGGCCGGGCAAGACCGGUGCCAGCCGCCGCGGUAACACCGGCGGCUCGAGUGGUAACCGUUAUUAUUGGGUCUAAAGGGUCUGUAGCCGGCCGGGUAAGUCUCUUGGGAAAUCUGGCAGCUUAACUGUCAGGCUUUCAGGAGAUACUGCCUGGCUCGAGGCCGGGAGAGGUGAGAGGUACUUCAGGGGUAGGGGUGAAAUCUUGUAAUCCUUGAAGGACCACCAGUGGCGAAGGCGUCUCACCAGAACGGACCUGACGGCAAGGGACGAAAGCUAGGGGCACGAACCGGAUUAGAUACCCGGGUAGUCCUAGCCGUAAACGAUACUCGCUAGGUGUCGGCCACGGUGCGACCGUGGUCGGUGCCGUAGGGAAGCCGUGAAGCGAGCCACCUGGGAAGUACGGCCGCAAGGCUGAAACUUAAAGGAAUUGGCGGGGGAGCAC